rnacentral:rRNA from 1 species
UACGUAGGGUGCAAGCGUUGUCCGGAAUUACUGGGCGUAAAGCGCACGUAGGCGGAUUGUUAAGUUAGGGGUGAAAUCCCAGGGCUCAACCCGUGGAACUGCCUUUGAUACUGAGGGUCUGAGUCCGGGAGAGGUGAGUGGAACUGCGAGUGUAGAGGUGAAAUUCGUAGAUAUUCGCAAGAACACCAGUGGCGAAGGCGGCUCACUGGCCCGGUACUGACGCUGAGGUGCGAAAGCGUGGGGAGCAAACAGG